CAGAGUAUAGUUUAAGAAAAAUUUUAGUUUUGGGGACUAAGGAUAAUAAUUUAUUUUCUCUGA
rnacentral:tRNA from 2 species